GCCGGGGUGGUGGAAUAGGUAGACACGCUGUCCUCAGGAGGCAGUGGGCUCCGGCCCGUGCGGGUUCGAGUCCCGCCCCCGGCACCA
rnacentral:tRNA from 1 species